GUUCCCGGGCCUUGUACACACCGCCCGUCAAGCCAUGGAAGCCGGGGGUGCCUGAAGUGCGUGACCGCAAGGAGCGCCCUAGGGUAAAACCGGUGACUGGGGCUAAGUCGUAACAAGGUAGCCGUACCGGAAGGUGCGGCUGGAACACCUCCUUU
rnacentral:rRNA from 1 species